rnacentral:misc_RNA from 1 species
GAUGAAGAACGUAGUGAAAUGCGAUAAGUAAUGUGAAUUGCAGAAUUCAGUGAAUCAUCGAAUCUUUGAACGCACCUUGCGCUCCUUGGCAUUCCGAGGAGCAUGCCUGUUUGAGUGUCAUUGAAUCCUCAAAGGGCCCCCCUUUUCCGGGGGGGGACCUUUGGACUCUGGGAGCGCUGCGGGGCCUGCCUUCCUUGGCCCCGCUCUCCUCAAACGCAUCAGUGGGCCACCCCUCGUACCCUUUGGGUCUCCGCGGCGUUGAUAGUCGUCUACGCCUCCGCCCGUCGGGUCUCGACCUGCUCCCCAACCCCCCCCUCACUUCUUUGAACACUUUGACCUCAAAUCAGGUAGGACUACCCGCUGAACUUAAGCAUAUCAAUAAGCGGAGGA